rnacentral:lncRNA from 10 species
CCAGACACAGUCAAUGUGUUAAAGGAGUAGAGUAAGGGCAGGAUGAACUACAUAAUUUGCAGACACGGCACAAAAUGAAAAUCUAGACCCCAUCUGAAACAAGAAACAGAAUGUUCUUAGUGCCCCAGAAGUUCCCAGAUGCCCUCUCCACUCCCAGCUUUCCUAAGGAUACCCACUAUCCUGACUUCUGAUAGCAUAGCGAUUGGUUUCUAGUUUUUGCCAAUUCGUGUGAUGAUGAUCAUGAAGAAAUCACAUGUACGUGACAUAUGGAAAAACUCACAGAAG